rnacentral:lncRNA from 1 species
UGACAUAUCCUACUUGGUUUAGUUAUGAUAACUCAGUCAGCAAUUCAUUUACUUAUGCACUCAUUUAUUCACCUAAUGUCUAUUGAUUAUUUAGAAUGCACCAGGCACUUGAUCCAGCUGUCCAGAAUACAAGAUAUACUCCUGAAGUCUGACUUUCAUUCAUUAACAACCACAUGGAUGAAGAAAGCAUAAAAAAAGAAACCAUUAAAAGAUAGCUGGAUUAUAACCUAGCUCCCAUUUGCACAGAGAGCUGUGGAAGUCAGCAGGAAGUGGAGGAUCACAUCUCACCCUGCAAGUGCGAGCUAUGCAGAGUGCUGUUCUGCUGAGGAAUGCGUAUGGAAAGGUGAGGAAAGCAACCACACAGCGGAUAAAGUUGAGAAACACUACCUCAGCCCUGUGGCCAAGGUCAGCAUCAACAGCGACACAUUAUGUUGGUGGUAUAUACUCACAUGAUGUGGUCAUGUGAUGUGGUGAUGAGAAGAGCAUUUCCUCCUCAAAGCCCAUAACCCCAUUCUAAUAAUGAGAAAACUAUCAGCAAACCCCAAAUUGAGGCACAGAGUGCAAAGUGCCUGGCCGGUACUCCUCAGAACUGUCAAGGUCACCAAAAACAUGGACAGACCCAGCAACUGCCACAGCCCAGAGGAGCCUAAGACGAGAUGAAUAAAUGUCAUAUAGUCUCCUGAAUACCAUCCAUGAGCAGAAAAAGGACAUUGGGUGAAAACCAAGGACAUCUGAAUAAGGCCAACCUCCUCCACAGCCAUCAAAGUGAUGCUUACGAGACCCAAAGCUGAUCAAGCCAUCGACCACUUAGAUUCUGCAGGCACUCUCUGUCACGCCAAACAUUGUAUGUACAACUCAG